rnacentral:misc_RNA from 1 species
GUGAGUCAUCGAAUCUUUGAACGCAUAUUGCACCUUCUGGUAUUCUGGGAGGUAUGCCUGUUCGAGCGUCAUUACGACCAACAAGCCCUUUAAGCUUGGUGUUGGAUGCCACUAUAUAUUAGGGUGCAUCUUAAAAUCAAUAAGCAGUUUUCUCAGCUUCCGAGCGCAGUAAUUUAUUUCGCUUUUGGUGCUUAGAUGUCCUGCUAAAUAAACAUAUCAUGGUUUGACCUCGGAUCAGGUAGGGAUACCCGCUGAACUUAAGCAUAUCAAUAAGCGGAGGA